rnacentral:rRNA from 1 species
AUACAUGCAAGUCGAACGGAGAGUUUUGUAGCAAUACGGAUCUUCUCAGUGGCGAACGGGCAAGUAACGACUUGGUGACCUGCCCCGAAGUGUGGGAUAACAGUCCGAAAGGAUUGCUAAUACCGCAUGUGAUCAUUGGUCUUAGAAUCUGAUGAUUAAAGCAGUAAUGCGCUUUGGGAGGGACCUGCUUCCCAUCAGCUAGUUGGUGAGGUAACGGCCCACCAAGGCUACGACGGGUAAGGGACCUGAGAGGGUGGUCCCUCGCAAUGGCACUGAAACACGGGCCAUACACCUACGGGUGGCAGCAGUAGGGAAUAUUGGGCAAUGGGCGAAAGCCUGACCCAGCAACGCCGCGUGCACGAUGAAGGCCUUCGGGUCGUAAAGUGCUUUUCUGAGGAAUGAGUAAGGACAGUACCUCAGGAAUAAGCCUCGGCUAACUACGUGCCAGCAGCCGCGGUAAAACGUAGGAGGCGAGCGUUAUCCGGAUUUACUGGGCGUAAAGCGUGUGUAGGCGGUUCGGCAAGUUGGAUGUGAAAGCUCCUGGCUUAACUAGGAGAGGUCGUUCAAUACUACCAAACUUGAGGGCAUCAGAGGAAGGUGGAAUUCCCGGUGUAGUGGUGAAAUGCGUAGAUAUCGGGAGGAACACCAGUGGCGAAAGCGGCCUUCUGGGAUGCUCCUGACGCUCAGACACGAAAGCUAGGGUAGCGAACGGGAUUAGAGACCCCGGUAGUCCUAGCAGUAAACGAUGUAGACUUGGUGUCGGAGGUGUCAAAACCUUCGGUAUCGUAGCUAACGCGAUAAGUCUACCGCCUGGGGACUACG